GAGUUUGAUCCUGGCUCAGGACGAACGCUGGCGGCGUGCCUAACACAUGCAAGUCGAACGGAGAAUCAGCAAUGAUUCUUAGUGGCGAACGGGUGAGUAACGCGUAGACAACCUGCCUUCUAGAUGGGGACAACACUGCGAAAGUGGUGCUAAUACCGAAUGUUGUAUUGGAUCUGCAUGGAUUUGAUACUAAAGGUGGCCUCUAUUUAUAAGCUAUCACUAGAAGAUGGGUCUGCGUCUGAUUAGCUAGUUGGUGAGGUAAUGGCUCACCAAGGCGAUGAUCAGUAGCCGGUCUGAGAGGAUGAACGGCCACACUGGGACUGAGACACGGCCCAGACUCCUACGGGAGGCAGCAGUGGGGAAUCUUCCGCAAUGGACGAAAGUCUGACGGAGCAACGCCGCGUGAGUGAAGAAGGUUUUAGGAUCGUAAAGCUCUGUCUUCAAGGACGAAUGUGCAUGUUGUGAAUAAUGACAUGUAAUGACGGUACUUGAGGAGGAAGCCACGGCUAACUACGUGCCAGCAGCCGCGGUAAUACGUAGGUGGCAAGCGUUGUCCGGAAUUAUUGGGCGUAAAGCGCGCGCAGGCGGGAAUGUAAGUCUGUCUUAAAAGUUCGGGGCUCAACCCCGUGAUGGGAUGGAAACUACAUUUCUUGAGUGCAGGAGAGGACAGUGGAAUUCCCAGUGUAGCGGUGAAAUGCGUAGAUAUUGGGAGGAACACCAGUGGCGAAGGCGACUGUCUGGACUGUGUCUGACGCUGAGGCGCGAAAGCCAGGGGAGUGAACGGGAUUAGAUACCCCGGUAAUCCUGGCCGUAAACGAUGGGUACUAGGUGUAGGAGGUAUCGACCCCUUCUGUGCCGGAGUUAACGCAAUAAGUACCCCGCCUGGGGAGUACGGCCGCA
rnacentral:rRNA from 1 species